rnacentral:rRNA from 1 species
UGACGGUACCAGAGGAAUCAGCAUCGGCUAACUCCGUGCCAGCAGCCGCGGUAAGACGGAGGAUGCAAGCGUUAUCCGGAAUGAUUGGGCGUAAAGCGUCCGCAGGUGGCAGUUCAAGUCUGCUGUCAAAGACCGGGGCUCAACCUCGGAAAGGCAGUGGAAACUGAACAGCUAGAGUAUGGUAGGGGCAAAGGGAAUUCCUGGUGUAGCGGUGAAAUGCGUAGAGAUCAGGAAGAACAUCGGUGGCGAAGGCGCUU